rnacentral:rRNA from 1 species
GUGCAGCAGUCGCGAAAACUCCGCAAUACGCGAAAGCGUGACGGGGCCAUCCCGAGUGCCGUCCGCUGAGGAUGGCUUUUCCCUAGUGUAGAUAGCUGGGGGAAUAAGGAGAGGGCAAGUCUGGUGUCAGCCGCCGCGGUAAUACCAGCUCUUCGAGUGGUAGGGAUGUUUAUUGGGCCUGAAGCAUCCGUAGCUGGCCUUUCAAGUCUCUUGUUAAAUCCAGCGAUUCAAUCGUUGGACUGCGGGAGAUACUGUUAGGCUAGGGAGCGGGAGAAGCCGACGGUAUUUCCGGGGUAGGGGUAAAAUCCUAUAAUCCCGGGAGGACCACCAGUGGCGAAGGCUGUUGGCUAGAACACGCCCGACGGUGAGGGAUGAAAGCUGGGGGAGCGAACCGGAUUAGAUACCCGUGUAGUCC